rnacentral:lncRNA from 1 species
CAGAAAACUGGCCAAAUUCUCUUAUUCAUUCUACUAUUUUAAAAUUUCUAUGUUCACAAUGAUAUGAUCUAAAACUGCAGAUGAUAUCCAUCUUCCUUGCUGUUUUCCUUCCGAUCCUUUUGCUUAGUUUUUUCACCUUGUUCUUCCGGGAGCCCCUGCUGCUGACGCUGAUGCUGGGGUCUCGGGUGUCCCUUCUCGUCUCGCUCCUGACUUGGGGAGGCGGAUUUCAACAUGGAACAGCAGGGAAAGCUGAUCUGAGUGAUGUGCUGUGCUCCAGCACUGGGAAGCUCUCUGCUUAGCCACAGAACCUCACUGACGCUCUUUCCUGUACUCUUCUUAAAAACAAUGAUUCCCCUUUUUUUGCCCUGCACCGAGAUGUUCUCCUCCUGGCCAAGAAAAACAUGUGGAGGGAGAUCACAUAACAAAGUGGGGGAUCUCCAGUUGAACAGAGACUCAGAAAGAAAGCACUUAGAAAACUGUCAGGUGAGUUUUCCCUGGCACAUUCAAUUACAUGUUGACACUUCAAUAAAAUAAAAUGAUU